AGGGGUUUCAGUCAAGUGGGAGGCUUGAAGCGGCUGAACAAGGAAGGAAGCUUAGAGGAUGGCUUGGGUUUUAUGGGGAGUAUUUAUAUAUAAGAGUCUAAAGGAGAUAAAUAUAUUAUUAAUUAAUUUAAAAAUAGAUAUAAUUUUAUUGAUUAAUAUAGUAGUUAGGCCAUCUAAAGAUUUGGAGCUCAAAUCCUCUCAUCCUCC
rnacentral:lncRNA from 1 species